UACGUAGGGCGCAAGCGUUAUCCGGAAUUAUUGGGCGUAAAGAGCUCGUAGGCGGUUUGUCGCGUCUGCCGUGAAAGUCCGGGGCUCAACCCCGGACUUGCGGUGGGUACGGGCAGACUAGAGUGUGGUAGGGGAGACUGGAAUUCCUGGUGUAGCGGUGAAAUGCGCAGAUAUCAGGAGGAACACCGAUGGCGAAGGCAGGUCUCUGGGCCACUACUGACGCUGAGAAGCGAAAGCGUGGGGAGCGAACAGG
rnacentral:rRNA from 1 species